rnacentral:tRNA from 1 species
GCCCAGAUGGUGAAAUUGGUAGACACGCCAGCUUCAGGUGCUGGUGCUCGCAAGGGCGUGGAGGUUCAAGUCCUCUUCUGGGCACCA